AAAGUGAUAAAUAGAUUUUCUAUGUAUGAUUUCGGCUCAUAAAGAUUUUUCAUUUUU
rnacentral:tRNA from 1 species